AAGCCAGAAAAACAAAGAUCAAUCGCCCACAGGAUCAAGAACCCGCAAGGAUUUUCUGCCCUGCUGGCCGGGGCGGGGCGGCCGGACGUGACAAGUGGCGCCUCAACGUGGGGCUGACUGAGGGGCCUGACACAGAAUCAGUCGUGGUGACGGCUUCACAGCUCAGAACACGCUGAAGUCUGUGGA